GACGAACCGUGCAAACGUUAUUCGGAAUCACUGGGCAUAAAGGGCGCGUAGGCGGCUUUCUAAGUCAGGGGUGAAAUCCGGCAGCUCAACUGUCGCAGUGCCUUUGAUACUGGAGAGCUCGAGGGAGGUAGGGGUCUGUGGAACUUCCGGUGGAGCGGUGAAAUGCGUUGAUAUCGGAAGGAACGCCGGUGGCGAAAGCGACGGACUGGAUCUCUUCUGACGCUGAGGCGCGAAAGCCAGGGGAGCAAACGGG
rnacentral:rRNA from 2 species